UGGGGAAUAUUGGGCAAUGGGCGCAAGCCUGACCCAGCAACGCCGCGUGAAGGAAGAAGGCUUUCGGGUUGUAAACUUCUUUUAAGAGGGAAGAGCAGAAGACGGUACCUCUUGAAUAAGCCACGGCUAACUACGUGCCAGCAGCCGCGGUAAUACGUAGGUGGCAAGCGUUGUCCGGAUUUACUGGGUGUAAAGGGCGUGCAGCCGGGAGUGCAAGUCAGAUGUGAAAUCCCGCGGCUCAACCGCGGAACUGCAUUUGAAACUGUGCUUCUUGAGUGCUGGAGAGGCAGACGGAAUUCCUAGUGUAGCGGUGAAAUGCGUAGAUAUUAGGAGGAACACCAGUGGCGAAGGCGGUCUGCUGGACAGUAACUGACGGUGAGGCGCGAAAGCGUGGGGAGCAAACAGG
rnacentral:rRNA from 1 species